AGUGAACGCUGGCGGUAGGCCUAACACAUGCAAGUCGAACGGCAGCACAGUAAGAGCUUGCUCUUACGGGUGGCGAGUGGCGGACGGGCGAGGAAUACAUCGGAAUCUACUUUUUCGUGGGGGAUAACGUAGGGAAACUUACGCUAAUACCGCAUACGACCUACGGGUGAAAGCAGGGGAGCUUCGGACCUUGCGCGAUUCAAUGAGCCGAUGUCGGAUUAGCUAGUUGGCGGGGUAAAGGCACACCAAGGCGACGAUCCGUAGCUGGUCUGAGAGGAUGAUCAGCCACACUGGAACUGAGACACGGUCCAGACUCCUACGGGAGGCAGCAGUGGGGAAUAUUGGACAAUGGGCGCAAGCCUGAUCCAGCCAUGCCGCGUGGGUGAAGAAGGCCUUCGGAUUGUAAAGCUCUUUUGUUGGGGAAGAAAAGCAGCAUGUUAAUACCCCGCUGUUUUGACGGUACCCAAAGAAUAAGCACCGGCUAACUUCGUG
rnacentral:rRNA from 1 species